UNUGAAGUUAAAGGCAUUGGCUCAANCAAUGUAUGCUUUGGAAACUGUUAGACUUGAGUGCAAAAGGGGAGAGUGGAAUUCCAUGUGUAGCGGUGAAAUGCGUAGAUAUAUGGAGGAACACCGGUGGCGAAAGCGGCUCUCUGGUCUGUCACUGACGCUGAGGCUNGAAAGCGUGGGUAGCGAACAGGAUUAGAUACCCUGGUAGUNCACGCCGUAAACGCUGAGUGCUAGGUGUUAGGUCCUUUCCGGGACUUAGUGCCGACGCUAACGCAUUAAGCACUCCGCCUGGGGAGUACGACCGCAAGGUUGAAACUCAAAGGAAUUGACGGGGGCCCGCACAAGCGGUGGAGCAUGUGGUUUAAUUCGAAGCAACGCGAAGAACCUUACCAGGUCUUGACAUCCCGAUGCCCGCUCUAGAGAUAGAGUUUUUCUUCGGAACAUCGGAGACAGGUGGUGCAUGGUUGUCGUCAGCUCGUGUCGUGAGAUGUUGGGUUAAGUCCCGCAACGAGCGCAACCCUUAUUGUUAGUUGCCAUCAUUAAGUUGGGCACUCUAGCGAGACUGCCGGUAAUAAACCGGAGGAAGGUGGGGAUGACGUCAAAUCAUCAUGCCCCUUAUGACCUGGGCUACACACGUGCUACAAUGGUUGGUACAACGAGUCGCAAGCCGGUGACGGCAAGCUAAUCUCUGAAAGCCAAUCUCAGUUCGGAUUGUAGGCUGCAACUCGCCUACAUGAAGUCGGAAUCGCUAGUAAUCGCGGAUCAGCACGCCGCGGUGAAUACGUUCCCGGGCCUUGUACACACCGCCCGUCACACCACGAGAGUUUGUAACACCCAAAGUCGGUGAGGUAACCAUUUAUGGGGCCAGCCGCCUAAGGUGGGANGGA
rnacentral:rRNA from 1 species